CGCCUUGCCAGCCCGCUCAGAAACUCAAAGGAAUUGACGGGGGCCCGCACAAGCGGUGGAGCAUGUGGUUUAAUUCGAUGAUACGCGAGGAACCUUACCUGGGCUCAAAUGUAUGUUGACGUAUUCUGAAAGGGAUACUUCUUCGGACAAUAUACAAGGUGCUGCAUGGUUGUCGUCAGCUCGUGCCGUGAGGUGUCGGGUUAAGUCCCAUAACGAGCGCAACCCCUAUCAUUAGUUGCCAUCAGGUCAAGCUGGGGACUCUAAUGAAACUGCCUACGCAAGUAGUGAGGAAGGUGGGGAUGACGUCAAAUCAGCACGGCCCUUACGUCCAGGGCUACACACGUGCUACAAUGGUCGGUACAAAGGGUUGCCAAGCCGCGAGGUGGAGCUAAUCCCAUAAAACCGAUCGUAGUCCGGAUCGCAGUCUGCAACUCGACUGCGUGAAGUCGGAAUCGCUAGUAAUCGUGAAUCAGAAUGUCACGGUGAAUACGUUCCCGGGCCUU
rnacentral:rRNA from 1 species